rnacentral:rRNA from 1 species
AGAGUUUGAUCCUGGCUCAGGAUGAACGCUAGCUACAGGCUUAACACAUGCAAGUCGAGGGGCAGCAUGAACUUAGCUUGCUAAGUUUGAUGGCGACCGGCGCACGGGUGAGUAACACGUAUCCAACCUUCCGUUUACUCAGGGAUAGCCUUUCGAAAGAAAGAUUAAUACCUGAUAGUAUGGUGAGAUUGCAUGAUAGCACCAUUAAAGAUUUAUUGGUAAACGAUGGGGAUGCGUUCCAUUAGGUAGUAGGCGGGGUAACGGCCCACCUAGCCGACGAUGGAUAGGGGUUCUGAGAGGAAGGUCCCCCACAUUGGAACUGAGACACGGUCCAAACUCCUACGGGAGGCAGCAGUGAGGAAUAUUGGUCAAUGGGCGAGAGCCUGAACCAGCCAAGUAGCGUGAAGGAUGAAGGUCCUACGGAUUGUAAACUUCUUUUAUACGGGAAUAAAGUAUCCUACGUGUAGGAUUUUGUAUGUACCGUAUGAAUAAGCAUCGGCUAACUCCGUGCCAGCAGCCGCGGUAAUACGGAGGAUGCGAGCGUUAUCCGGAUUUAUUGGGUUUAAAGGGAGCGCAGACGGGAGAUUAAGUCAGUUGUGAAAGUUUGCGGCUCAACCGUAAAAUUGCAGUUGAUACUGGUUUCCUUGAGUGCAGUUGAGGCAGGCGGAAUUCGUGGUGUAGCGGUGAAAUGCUUAGAUAUCACGAAGAACCCCGAUUGCGAAGGCAGCUUGCUAAACUGUAACUGACGUUCAUGCUCGAAAGUGUGGGUAUCAAACAGGAUUAGAUACCCUGGUAGUCCACACGGUAAACGAUGGAUACUCGCUGUUGGCGAUAUACUGUCAGCGGCCAAGCGAAAGCAUUAAGUAUCCCACCUGGGGAGUACGCCGGCAACGGUGAAACUCAAAGGAAUUGACGGGGGCCCGCACAAGCGGAGGAACAUGUGGUUUAAUUCGAUGAUACGCGAGGA